rnacentral:lncRNA from 1 species
CUGAACACAAACCUCGCUGAACCUUUCCUGAGUGCGGAGCCCUGAGAAUCCAGUGGCACUCUUAACUUCACAGAGGAGGGGACUUUGAGAUGGAUUUUGAAAGCGGAGUUCACCAAGCAGAGACGUUGGGAUUCAUCAGUGAAGAGGAGCUUGGGCAGGUAUAACAGAUAUAUUUUAACAUUUUCCUGAGCCACCGUUUGCCUAGGCUGCAUGACAUACCAAUUCUUAUGGAAGGACUCAGUGCUCACCAUCCUCGAAAACCUGAUUCAAAACCUAUCUUGCCAUUCUUGCGUGCUCCUAAAAGAAGAGAAAAAGGCCUCCAGUUAGAGGCCAUCAACAAAAAUGCUGAAUGGGUCAUCGUAUUUCCUAAAAGUCAAGAACAAAGAAGACCCAGACAAGGCUUCUGAGAACUAUGGAGACGUAUCCAGAUGCCACACUGAAAAUACAAUUCCACCACCCAUCCAUUAUUUGCUCAGGCAUAUAACAAGACAUCUCUUUUCACUGGUUUCUCUUCUGCCACCUGUUAAAUUAGAAAAACAACUAGUCUUAUAAAUGAAUAAAGGUGCUUAUUAUAGAUACAUACCACUUCCCAAGCAAAGAAAAUCAGGCCUUAGAAGAAAGUAUAAGGGAAGGUAGAUGUAUUAACUAUGUAGAUCAUGCUUAUUUGCCUCUUGAGAGAUGGCUUCUCUCCUCAAAUUCAAUGGAGCUGUAAUUUGAAAAAUCAGGCCUGUAGGCACUUUUAGGAUAUAAUGACAUUUGCACACAUGAUCACAUGCUUCAGGGAAAAAAAUGAAAUCAGGAGGACACACUGGUAAGCUGUGGGCUUAUUGUGGGCACCACAGCAUACAAAGUCACUAUAUGAAUUCCCAGAUUAGGACACAGUUUGAUGGUUUUCUUGGUUCUCUUAAGAGCUUGGUGGAAAUUAAGUCUGUUUUACAUAAGGUAACCUCAAGUCCCCUGGCUGCUAAAAUGAUAUAAUGGUUUGCUCUGAAAUUAGCUACUAAAGUAACACAAUUCUUGCUAUCUGAGUAUAAAAGCAGAAGGCAGAAAUUCAUUCUUACAGAGUAAGAACUCAUUUUUUGCCAUAGAGUAAAACAUUCCAACCCUCCAAAGUCAGUCUAGGGAUUUGGGUUUCAUUUUUUCCUUUAAAAAGACAUUUUUCCCCUGGAUAUUCGGAAGAAUGUAAACAAAAGCCACAGAAAACACAAGUUAGGGCACUGAAGUAUAGCGUAGCACUCUCUUAUGGGAAAAAUGCCAGUGUGCUGUGGCAGAAGGCAGAUGAACACUGUCUCUUCUCCCGCUCCCCACUUCAAACCAGAGUCUCAUGUAGUUUCCCUACCCAGAAAGGAAGAGAAAACAAAUAAUAGCCAUUGUGACAACAAAGACGUGAGAUUUCAUAAAAUAGAUUACUUUUGGUGGAACAAAUACCUGACACCUUUCAACCUCAAAUAGUACAGUCUGAGACGCCACAGUCCAGGUUUCAAUCUUAACGCUAUGAAAUUCUGGAGUUAGUUUUAUUUCAUUCCAAAACUUGGAGUCUUAAGAUGCUUUAAGAACACUAAUUGUGGUGGACAUUUUAUUGGGUAAUUAUAUUUAUCAUGAUCUCCUCCACCUUGUCUCUGCUCCUCUGUCCCAUUUUGUAGCACUCCAAUCUUGUGACUUCCAAUUAGGUGACAAGAAGUGUCUAAAUUCUUAUCUGUGGUAUUUCAUCAUAAAUUUUGUAUAAGACUAUUAUAUGAACUGACAACAGCUAUGGGCCUGGAGACAAAAGGAUUAAGACACACUAAAA